rnacentral:tRNA from 1 species
AAGUUUUAAGUUAAUUAUUAAACUAUUAGCCUUCAAAGUUAAAAUUACCAUCCAAGUAAGCUUUGA